rnacentral:rRNA from 1 species
UACGUAGGGGGCAAGCGUUGUCCGGAAUCAUUGGGCGUAAAGAGCGCGUAGGCGGCCCUGUAAGUCCGCUGUGAAAGUCAAGGGCUCAACCCUUGGAUGCCGGUGGAUACUGCAGGGCUAGAGUCCGGAAGAGGCGAGUGGAAUUCCUGGUGUAGCGGUGAAAUGCGCAGAUAUCAGGAAGAACACCCGUGGCGAAGGCGGCUUUCUGGGACGGUACUGACGCUGAGACGCGAAAGCGUGGGGAGCGAACAGG